GACGAACGCUGGCGGCGUGCCUAAUACAUGCAAGUAGAACGCCGUUGCGAACGGGUGAGUAACGCGUAGGUAACUUCCUUAUAGCGGGGGAUAACUACUGGAAACGAUAGCUAAUACCCAACACUGUGAGACGGACCUGCUUUGUUUUAGGUAGUUGGUGAGGUAAACGCCCACCAAGGCGCCGAUACAUAGCCGACCUGAGAGGGUGAUCAGCCAAACUGGGACUGCGACAAGGCCCAGGCUCCUGCGGGAGGCAGGAGUAGGGGAUGUUCGGCAAUGGGCGGAAGUCUGACCGAGCAACGCCGCGUGGGUGAAGGAGGUUUUCGGAUCGUAAAGCUCUGUUCUUAGAGAAGCGGUAACUGAAGAGAAAGGGACGGCUAACUACGUGCCAGCAGCCGCGGUAAUAC
rnacentral:rRNA from 1 species